GGCUUUGUAGCCUAGUAUGUACAGGUUUUGCUUGUUACGCAGAGGGUCCAGGGUUCGAACCUUACUUGGUCA
rnacentral:tRNA from 1 species